UACAGAGGGUGCAAGCGUUGUUCGGAAUUACUGGGCGUAAAGCGCGUGUAGGCGGCGGCGUAAGUCGGAUGUGAAAUCCCUCGGCUCAACCGAGGAAGUGCAUCCGAUACUGCGUUGCUUGAGUGUCGGAGGGGGUGGCGGAAUUCCCGGUGUAGAGGUGAAAUUCGUAGAUAUCGGGAGGAACACCUGUGGCGAAGGCGGCCACCUGGACGACAACUGACGCUGAGACGCGAAAGCGUGGGUAGCAAACAGG
rnacentral:rRNA from 1 species